GGAGAUGUCAGUGUGGGAGCGUCCACGCUGUUCAUCUGUAGUGUUUGUACCGCUGCGGUUGCGGUUGAGGGAUGAGUUACUAGUCGUACGAGAUCGAGACAGGCGGGUCAUGCUGGCAGAGGGCACUGUGGAGAAGAAGAAAAGUCUUAAAGACACGGCUCCUGCAUAAGGGAGGUAUAGAGGAGACUCUUACGAUUCAGUCCAAUGUCAUGGAAAGUCAGGAUAGUAGGCCGGUUGCCCCUCGGAACACCCUUCAUGGUGCAGUGCACCUUACCAAAGGAAGUCUCCACAUCAUCCUCCUACAAGAGCAAAGUUAUGUGUGGCGUAAACAUCCCACUCCCAGCAUGCCUUGCAUAGUGGCCAGAAGGAGCCUAAUUCUUAAAGGAUGGAAAGCUCAACAAAUUGGAUCAGUAAAUUAAGCUGGACACUGGCAUCACUGAACACGUCCCACCUUUUUGGUGUUCCCAAGUAAACAUUUUAUGAAUGAGACGCAUGGAAUCUUGGGAGUUUUGAAGAUGCAUUGCAAUAUAUGAAUUUUACAGUGUUUUUAUUGAUUCAUUAAACCUUUUCAUUAAAUAGAUAUAUCACCCAAAAAUGAAAAUUCUAUCAUCAUUUACUCACCAUGUCAUUCCAUUCCUGUACCUUUUCUCUUCAUUGGAACACAGAAAAUAUUUUAAACUUGCUUUCAUUGAAUAAACAAAACAAAUAUAAGAAAUGCAUAAAUAUUGUAAAAAUCUAAUAAAAUAUAUAAUAUUUAAUAAAAUAAAUGAUAAAAGCAUGAGUAAAUGAUGACAGAAUAUCAAUAUUUGGCUGAACUGUUUCUUUAAUCACAGUCAAAUUUAGAUAUAAAUGUGGCAUAUGCAUAUGAUACAUGAUGCUAACUAAUUUUUCACUCCUGUUUUUUCACUUUUGUCACGUCGACAUUAUUAUUUUGCCCAAAAAAGCCAUGACAAUCUAUUUAAAAUGCCGUUGCCUUAAAAAAAAAAAGGAAAAAAGAAAAGAAAGGCUGUCAGACAUCAGGCAUGUAGCACUGACUGUAGUCACACACUUAAGGAACCUUGACCUCACAGUAAGAUCUAAAGAACUCUGUUUACAGUGUCCAUCAUCAGAGUAACAGCGCUAAGCUCAUUUAGCACAGGCACAAUGUGCAACAUGUUCAUGCAGGCGUGAGGCAGUUCGGGGCAGAUGGCAUUUCUGUGGUCCAGACGUCAUUGUUGCUGAGAGCCCUUACAAGUGUCCCUGUCGAGCACGAGACGGUGGCCUGGAAAGCAGUACUGAAAUCAUCUUGGAGGAUCAGUGUGACAAAGCAAGCUGUUUCUUCAGUCCUCAUUGAUGGCUACUGUUAAUGUUCCACCAAAUCUAUAUGCAUCUGUACAGUACCAUUCAAAAAUUGUUUUUUUUAAAGAAAUUAAUCCUUUUAUUCAGCAAGGAUGCAUUAAAAUGAUCAGUGUUGAAAAAUUACAACUGUUUUCAACACUGAUAAUAAUCAGACAUGUUU